AUUGAACGCUGGCGGUAUGCUUAACACAUGCAAGUCGAACGGUAACAGGCCUUCGGGUGCUGACGAGUGGCGAACGGGUGAGUAAUGCAUCGGAACGUGCCCAAUCGUGGGGGAUAACGUAGCGAAAGUUACGCUAAUACCGCAUAAGCCCUGAGGGGGAAAGCAGGGGAUCGCAAGACCUUGCGCGAAUGGAGCGGCCGAUGUCAGAUUAGCUAGUUGGUGGGGUAAAGGCCUACCAAGGCGACGAUCUGUAGCGGGUCUGAGAGGAUGAUCCGCCACACUGGGACUGAGACACGGCCCAGACUCCUACGGGAGGCAGCAGUGGGGAAUUUUGGACAAUGGGCGCAAGCCUGAUCCAGCCAUGCCGCGUGCGGGAC
rnacentral:rRNA from 1 species